UACGUAGGGUGCAAGCGUUGUCCGGAAUUAUUGGACGUAAAGAGCUCGUAGGCGGUCUGUCGCGUCUGCUGUGAAAUCCCAGGGCUUAACCCUGGGCCUGCAGUGGGUACGGGCAGACUAGAGUGCGGUAGGGGAGAUCGGAAUUCCUGGUGUAGCGGUGAAAUGCGCAGAUAUCAGGAGGAACACCGGUGGCGAAGGCGGAUCUCUGGGCCGUAACUGACGCUGAGGAGCGAAAGCAUGGGUAGCGAACAGG
rnacentral:rRNA from 1 species